GCGGCCAGCGGGCGCCUGCCCGAGUCGCCAGAGCUCCCCCGGCCCCGCUCGGCCCGUGCGGCUGCCCCCAGCUCCAGCCCCUCCCCUGAAGCCUGCGCUGUAGCCGCAGGCAGCCCCCGAGCCCUGUCGUGAGGGCAGCAAGCUGGCCCUGCGGUGGUCUCGAGUCUCCCUUAACAGGCCACGCUGUGGGUGCGGUUGUCCGUUCGUCCCCUGGGGAUGCCGUUGACUGCAGCAGCCUCAGGCUUGCGUGGGCUGUCUCUGCCUGGCCUCCCUCUCCUUGCGGCGCGGGAGCACAGAGGGACAUGCGGAGCGCUUACUGGCUGUGGACAGGAGCUGCUGAAGCUGACGUUGAAGCUGGAGAGGCCACAGAAUGGUAAAGCUGCUGAAGAAUAAAAUAAAGAGGAUCCAGCCACCAGCUGCAGACAGGAGAUAGCCUGCCUCUCCAGGUGGAUGACAGUCAAGUGAGUGCAGCUACAGAGGAGGAAGGGAGAGGGAGAAAGAGACAUGUCUGAACUGUCAAAUUCUCCCAGCAGCUCCAACAGCGGGAGGUACACCUGCAGUGAAGACCAUGGUGACACAGGCUGUCCCCCUGCAGCCCACGGAGGUCCAUGGCGGAGCAGAUAUGCACCCUGCAGCCGAUGGAGGACCCCUCGCCAGAGCAGGCGGAUUCACCCGAAGGAGGCUGUGACGCUGUGGAGAGGAGCCCACACUGGAGCAGGUUUUCUGGCAGGACCUGCGGCCCCAUGGGAGUGACACCACACUGGAACAGAAGAAGAGCACAAAGAAGGAAGGAGCAGCAGAGACAACUUGUGAUGAACUGACUGCAACCCCCCGCUCCUUCUCCCCCUGUGCUGCUCGGUAGGAGGAGGUAGAGAAGUCAGGAGUGAAGAUGAGCCCAGGAAAAAAAGAGAGGGGUGGGGGGAAGGUGUUUUUCAGAUUUGUUCGUAUUUCUCAUUAUUGUACUCUGAUUUUGACUGACAAUAAAUUAAUUUCCCCAAGUCGA